rnacentral:misc_RNA from 1 species
AUUGUAUUCUUUAUAUGUACACUUAAUAUGUAACCUUUUUUCAUGUAAUUCAGGAUGUCCAUCCAAUAUUAUAUUUAUCCAAUUUGUCUUCCAUUUUCAGACUCAGUUCUUACCUUCUGUGGAUCCGUAUCUCCUCUUCCUUCAUUUUUGAAAUGAGAUUUCAAUCCUAUCCAGCAUUGGUAAUAGUCGUGAUCCAUGAAUGG